rnacentral:rRNA from 1 species
UACGUAGGCAGCAAGCGUUGUUCGGAAUUACUGGGCGUAAAGAGUGUGUAGGCGGUGCUCUAAGUUCGGUGUGAAAUCUCCUGGCUCAACUGGGAGGGUGCGCCGGAAACUGGGGUGCUGGAGCGCGGGAGAGGAAAGCGGAAUUCCUGGUGUAGCGGUGAAAUGACGUAGAUAUCAGGAGGAACACCGGCGGUGUAGACGGCUUUCUGGACCGUAGCUGACGCUGAGACACGAAAGCGUGGGUAGCAAACAGG